AUUGAACGCUGGCGGCAGGCCUAACACAUGCAAGUCGAGCGAGCGGCGGACGGGUGAGUAAUGUAUGGGGAUCUGCCUGAUGGCGGGGGAUAACUACUGGAAACGGUAGCUAAUCCCGCAUACCAUCAGAUGACCCCAUAUGGGAAGAGCUAGUAGGUGAGGUAACGGCUGACCUAGGGGACGAUCCCUCGCUGGUCUGAGAGGAUGAUCAGCCACAUGGGGACUGAGACACGGCCCAGACUCCUUCGAGAGGCAGCAGUGGGGAAUAUUGCACAAUGGGCGCAAGCCUGAUGCAGCCAUGCCGCGUGUAUGAAGAAGGCCUUCGGGUUGUAAAGUACUUUCAGUCGGGAGGCGUUACCGACAGAAGAAGCACCGGCUAACUCCGUGCCAGCAGCCGCGGUAAUUC
rnacentral:rRNA from 1 species